rnacentral:lncRNA from 13 species
ACAUCACCACACCUGACUAAUCUGUAAUUUUUUUGUGUAUAGAUGGGGUCUCCCUAUGUUGCCAAGCUGGUCUGGUGAUCCUCCAGCCUCAGCCUCCCAAAGUGCUGGGAUUACAGGUGCGAGCCACUAUGUCCGGCCUAGUAUCCAGCUUUUAACAAACCUAGCCAUGCUGCGCACUCUGCUUAAGCCCCUUUUGUGCCUUUUUCUUGUUCUCGACAUAAAAAUUCAAAUCAUAACCAAGGCUCAGGAGAUGUAGCUCAGCCCCACCUCACCCUGCAUCCUCUGUGACUGGCCCUUCCAAGCCUCAUGGGCCUGAAGCAGAGCGGGAACAAGGCAGGAUGCUGCUUCCUGCAGCCUUUGCAUGGGCCACGGCCUCUGUGCAGAGUGGCUUCCCCCUGACCCCGGUGUGACUGUCCUCUUCUCAUCCUUCAGGCCUCAGUCUGUGUGUUAGCUUCUGAGGAGGAGACCGAACCCCUCGAAGCAGCCGCUCCUCCUUCAUGCUCCUGCCUGGCCCCUUCAGAGCCAGUACAUGGCUGUCUGACUGUUACCAAUUUGUGGCCUCUCCCGGCAAGGACAGGGACCAGGUCUCUUUACUGUGCUCCCUGCAGCCAGCCUGGUGCCUGGCCCACGGUAGCCAUGAGCAGGCACUCCAGAAAUGUUCCUGGAGUGAGUAAAUUAACAGCACGUGGGUCAGGAUCUAACAUUUUGGUUGACCUCAUUCACAGCCCGACACGCCAGGGUUGCCCAUGGGUCAUGGCCAGUCUGUGUCAUUGUCAUAAAAACACAGAUUGGAAGCUGGGAUUACAGGUGUGAGCCACUGCGCCCCAGCCGGCCCUGCCUCUCAAUACCAUCACACUGGGGAUUAGGUUUCAACAUGUGAAUUUGGAGUCAGGGUGGGGAUGGCACAAACAUUCAGACUCUAUCACUAUAUAAAAUCCAAUGAGAUAAUACAUGCAACGUGCACAGCACAGUGGCUUGCACACAGCGGCUUAAUAAGUCUUGGUGAUUAUGAGGCCACCAAACCAGGGAGAGGUCGUGUGGUCUGCCUAAGGCGGCGAAGGGAAGGGUAGCAGAUUCCCCGCCGGGUCUGAGUCUUGGAUCCUUGCCUGGGGCUCUUUCACUGUCCCCCCAACACCCCUUUCCCCAGCCCUUCCCACACACACAUGCACACCAGGUUCCCCCGCGUUCGAGCCACUGAUGGACCGGCAGCCAGCUGGACCUGAAUGUCAUUCAAAUGAUUGCAGGCUCUAAACCAG